UACAGAGGGUGCAAGCGUUGUCCGGAAUUAUUGGGCGUAAAGAGCUCGUAGGCGGCUUGUCACGUCGGGUGUGAAAGCCCGGGGCUUAACCCCGGGUCUGCAUUCGAUACGGGCAGGCUAGAGUGUGGUAGGGGAGAUCGGAAUUCCUGGUGUAGCGGUGAAAUGCGCAGAUAUCAGGAGGAACACCGGUGGCGAAGGCGGAUCUCUGGGCCAUUACUGACGCUGAGGAGCGAAAGCGUGGGGAGCGAACAGG
rnacentral:rRNA from 1 species